rnacentral:rRNA from 1 species
CAGUAGCCGCGGGAAUACGUAGGUGGCAAGCGUUGUCCGGAAUUAUUGGGCGUAAAGGGCUCGCAGGCGGUUUCUUAAGUCUGAUGUGAAAGCCCCCGGCUCAACCGGGGAGGGUCAUUGGAAACUGGGAAACUUGAGUGCAGAAGAGAAGAGUGGAAUUCCACGUGUAGCGGUGAAAUGCGUAGAGAUGUGGAGGAACACCAGUGGCGAAGGCGACUCUCUGGUCUGUAACUGACGCUGAGGAGCGAAAGCGUGGGGAGCGAACAGGAUUAGAUACCCGUGUAGUCCCUGUCUCUUAUAC